CAGCAGCCGCGGUAAUACGUAGGUGGCAAGCGUUGUCCGGAAUUAUUGGGCGUAAAGGGCUCGCAGGCGGUUUCUUAAGUCUGAUGUGAAAGCCCCCGGCUCAACCGGGGAGGGUCAUUGGAAACUGGGAAACUUGAGUGCAGGAGAGGAGAGUGGAAUUCCACGUGUAGCGGUGAAAUGCGUAGAGAUGUGGAGGAACACCAGUGGCGAAGGCGACUCUCUGGUCUGUAACUGACGCUGAGGAGCGAAAGCGUGGGGAGCGAACAGGAUUAGAUACCCCAGUAGUCCCUGUCUCUUAUAA
rnacentral:rRNA from 1 species